rnacentral:rRNA from 1 species
AUUGAACGCUGGCGGCAGGCCUAACACAUGCAAGUCGAGCGGAUGAAGGGAGCUUGCUCCUGGAUUCAGCGGCGGAUGGGUGAGUAAUGCCUAGGAAUCUGCCUGGUAGUGGGGGACAACGUUUCGAAAGGAACGCUAAUACCGCAUACGUCCUACGGGAGAAAGCAGGGGACCUUCGGGCCUUGCGCUAUCAGAUGAGCCUAGGUCGGAUUAGCUAGUUGGUGAGGUAAUGGCUCACCAAGGCGACGAUCCGUAACUGGUCUGAGAGGAUGAUCAGUCACACUGGAACUGAGACACGGUCCAGACUCCUACGGGAGGCAGCAGUGGGGAAUAUUGGACAAUGGGCGAAAGCCUGAUCCAGCCAUGCCGCGUGUGUGAAGAAGGUCUUCGGAUUGUAAAGCACUUUAAGUUGGGAGGAAGGGUUGUAGAUUAAUACACUGCAAUUUUGACGUUACCGACAGAAUAAGCACCGGCUAACUCUGUGCCAGCCGCCGCGGUAAUAC